GCCUAGCUGGCUCAGUUGGUAGAGCACAGGACUCUUGAUCUUGGGAUUGUGAGUUCGAGCCCCACACUGGGUG